CAAUAGCGUAUACUAAAGUUGUUGCAGUUAAAAAGCUCGUAGUUGAAUUUCUGGUCGUGGCAAUCGGUCCGCCCUAAACGGGUGUGUACCAGGUCGUCGCGUCCUUCCUCGGGGAAAACACAUCUAACAUUAAGUUGUCGGGUGUGGGAUCCUCGUCAUUUACUGUGAGCAAAAUAGAGUGUUCAAAGCAGGCUUAGGCCGUUGAAUACAUUAGCAUGGAAUAAUAAGAUAAGACCUUGGUCUAUUUUGUUGGUUUGUAUUCCGAGGUAAUGAUUAAUAGGGAUAGUUGGGGGUAUUCGUAUUCCAUUGUCAGAGGUGAAAUUCUUGGAUUUAUGGAAGACGAACUACUGCGAAAGCAUUUACCAAGGAUGUUUUCAUUAA
rnacentral:rRNA from 1 species